rnacentral:lncRNA from 1 species
CUCGCGGCACAUGGAGGUUCCCAGGCUAGGGGUCUAAUCAGAGCUGUAGCCACUGGCCUAUGCCAGAGCCACAGCAACUGUGAUCCGAGCAGCAUCUGCAACCUACACCACAGCUCACGGCAACGCCAGAUCGUUAACCCACUGAGCAGGGGCAGGGAUCGAACCCACAACCUCAUGGUUCCUAGUUAGAUUCGUUAACCACUGCGCCACGACGGGAACUCCCCAUUACCAAGGGUUAUCACGUGAGUAGAGAUGGAGAAUCAUUCAAAAUAAGACGAAUCACUUCAAGAUUCUUCAUGUGAGUGACAAGAAAGGGCAGAAGAAUAGGUAAGCCCAAAGUUUCUGCAACCAACAUUAUUAUUCUAAGACAGUGCUUUAUCUGGAAAUCUUGAUCUGUUUAUAGUCACAUAUCUAACACUCACCCAUGUUAGACUUCAAAUAACCUGAGAAUAAAGUUAGAACCUUGGCAAAAUACUGUUGCUGUUUGGCUCUCAUGUAACUUUUUGUAUUAUAAACCUAGAGUUUGAUCUCUCUCAUUCCCGCCAGUUCUGUUUUCUUCCCAUUAUUUCCAAUUAAAAAUCAUGACCCAGGAGUUUUGCAUGUUGAAAACCGCCAGUAGUGUUGUCAGGAAUGUGUAACUGCCGCGCCAGGUUACGACUGGCUUCGAACCCCAUCUGUGGAACCACUCAAUUCCACAGCUGUCAAAGCGCUGAUACCAACUGCAGUUAAUGACACAGCGUCAAGCUCUAGCUCGUCUACCUGCCGCCCUGCAAACAAAUGCACACUGGCAGUGAGGGGAGAGCACAGUGAGCAGCAGAUACCAUAUUUAUCAUAAUCACUAUGAUCCACGGUAGAGGAAAAUCAAUUUCUCUUAAUCAAGUAGAGUGACUUAUUAAGGGUUAUGAGUCCUGGCUGGAUAGCUGUACUGAUUUGAUUAUGUUGGGAGGGAAAUUAGCAGUGGCCUCCUACAUAGUCUUCUCCUUUGUCUUUUGGCUCGGAGUUUGUUAUUAAAUUAUUAUCUUAUGAAAGCCUUAGGGAACAGGUCAUGCUUUGAUCAAAAAGAGACUGAGAAAGAGGGUGCUGAAAAGGUUUACGUGUUGACAGGUGAAGAUGUGAACAUUCAUAAUAUGCUCACUGCAGAGCUAUUGGUUUAUAAUUGAAAGGGCGUAUCUACAGCAUAAGCCUGUGCCAACACGGGAACCUUCUUGAAAGAACCAUCAUAAGUUAACCUUUGUCCUUCAGUUUCUCCUUCCUUUUUUUGAUACCAUAGUCUCAGACACCUGGAAAGCAAGGUACUUUGUUCUGCUGUCUGAGAGGAAUGGAGCUGUAGAUUAAAAGUCACGUACAUGGUUUUAAUCUUUAAAAGAAUGCUUUGACCAUAAUCAGUAGCAGAAAAAUUUAAAAGUUACCUGUAUGUUAAUUUUUUUUAACUCUCCAGGUUUUUAAAAGGUCACAAACCAUGGACAAAAAGUGGGAUAAGAUUCUGUGAAAAUAACUUUAAAAUAUUUUCUCACAAAAACUACUUUUUUCUAACCUCCCUAUGUCUCUCAUGCAAUUUUGGGGAAAGAAAAUAGAAUAAACCAGUUGUUUUCAUUUAUUCUCCUGGAUAGUUUUAGUUAGAAUUUUACAAAUAUAUGGGCAUCAUCAGAUUUAUUUCCCUGUAAAUAAAAUAAAGAAAUAAGAAAGUUAUGAGAUGUCUCAUCUUUUCCAACAUAUGUAAUAGCCAAAAUGGUAGGCUAGUAAAAACUACUAUUCUGUGUAAAUAGUUCUAUUUUAGAAACUGUCCAUAGUUACAAACAAAUAUGUACAACUUUUCUUAAUAACAGUAUUUAAAAUACCAAAUAAAAUAAUUGAGUGAAUUUUUGUUAGGAGCAAGCAUAGAAACUAAAGGAAUACUAAGACAGAAUACUUUUUAGUUGAGUAGAAGAUAAAAUUGUUUUUUCUUGGCCUCUUGCAAAACAUACAACCCAUUAGAUCUACAUGAUUCUGCAAUAAUUAUACAAAAAAAGUUGUACAUAUUUUUGUAAUUAUUCUAUAAUUUGUGAUUUGAACAUAUUAGAUUUCAAAUAUUUGAUAAAUAUAAUGCCAGACUUCUUUUGAUGGUCUCAGAGUUCUUAACAGAGAUGUCAUCCAAUUACCCUCAGUGAAAUUUCAUCGUUAGUACCAUGAUUUUAACAAAGGGAUGAUGCAAUUCUUAGAAAUAAGAUAGUCUGGGUUCCAUAAUCUCUUGUUACCUUGAAAAUCACACAUGUAUUUUCAAUUCUCUCUCUCCAGUGGCCUCAUCACUAUCCUUUCAAAAAAUUACCUGACACAUAAUGGAAAAUUUUUAAUUUUUAAUCUUCCUUCACCUUUCAACUUGCAUUUAAAUGGCUUUUUGGUCUCAAUGACCUAGAAAAAUCUGAAAUCGAGCCUUACGAACCUUAUAUACCACACAAUGUAUCAAUGACGCAUUUUACCAUAUAACUAAAUAAGAACAGAGGUAUACUGAAGAUUAAAGGAAGUAGAAAAUUAAAAGUUACUUAUAUGCCUCCGUUCCUUGUUAUUUCAUAUACAUGUUCUAGGAAGGAUAAGUAGACAUUUCCUAUCCAUUCAUCUCUUUCUUAGAAUGAAUUCAUUUUUGGAACCCUGCAACCUAGCACACAGCCUGACAUAUAGAAAGUGUUUAAAAGAUGUUUGCUGAAUUAAACUCAAUGUACUAUAAACACAUCAUACAUGGUUUACAUCAAUUUCCUUCUUUGGAAUUUUCAUUUCUGUUAGUGGUCAUUUUUCUAGAACUUACAAUUACUAUAGAGACAUUUUCAUACUUGAUAGAAUACAGACAGUUGUAUUCAAAAGGUCAGUGAUCAAAAGCGAUGUAGCAACUAUAUGAAAAUCUCAUUACCUUACUAGGAAUAACUAAAAUUUUCAACAUGAUACAUAGUUCAUAUAUAUUUCAUCUAAUAUUUAUAAAGGGAUUUUUGGCUGAUCAAGCAGUAAUCAAGAGUAACUUUCCAUAAAGACUUUCCCUAUGUUAUAAAUUACUUACUUGUUAAUAUAAAGACAACUCAGUCAAAAUAGCCCUUUCCCAGAGCCAAAACUGCUGUAGCCAGUUUGAUGAUAAAUUUGAAUCUGAUAAAAUUGACACAUUAUGCCAAAAAGACCAUAUUAAUCAGAGAGAGUUGGAGAAACAUUUGCCACUGAGCUUUACAUAGGAUCAUUUUAUUGCUUAUCAGUCAAUAAUCACCAAAUGCAUUCAAGUACUCUGUCUCCUGGCACAGAAAAAUUAAAACUACAAUAAAUCUUCUGACAUACAGUAUUACAGUAUUAUUAAACACCAUCAUUCAAUACUAAGACAUUGGAUAAAAAUCACAACCCUGUGAUAAAUUACAUGUAUUUUGGAGGUAAAGAUUAAAAUAUACUUAUCUUUAUUCUCAUAAUUUCAUGAGUAAGUCACAGGAAUAUAUUAGGCCCUAUUCUAAAAGAAAAUAUGCAUUCAAAUUAAUACAUUUUAAAUCACUGAUUUCAAAGAGCUUUAAUAAUGGGAUCUCCCAAUCUUUAAUGGCCAAGUUUUAGAAUAUUAUGCUCUCUGAAAACACAGCCACAUUAAAUAAACAAAUAAAAACACAUACUUUAUCAGAAAGUGGUAAUAACUGCUUUCUAAUUGACUUUAUAUUUCCUUUACUAACUGGUGACAUGUGAUAGGAACUAAAGAUUUGUUCCUGAAUUCCCUAGUCUCACAGGUAUAUUGUGAUAAAGAGUAUGGAAACUAUACUACAUUAUUUCAACAAAUUAUACAUGUCAUAGAUUUUAAAAAUUCAUGAACAUACAAUUCUGCCCAACUGAACUUAGAGCUUAUCAUUUACUUUUCAUAUUUAAAGAUCCCUAAAAUUGUAUAUUUCCCCUUAUAUUACUGAUGGUUUUAACAGUUUCCAAAACAUUAGACUUUAAAUUUCCUGACAAUUGGCAUUUUUGGUUAUCAGUCUUUAGCCACUAAUGCAGUUAUCUUAAAUUAACAUGCCAAGUGGGUUUAGCAAAAUAAUCUAUAUGAGUAAAUCAUUCAAGGUGUAGAUAAAUUAGGUUUAACACAAUAGAAGAGUUCCCACUGUGGUGCAGCAGUAACAAACCCAACUGGUAUUCAGGAGGACACGGGUUCCAUCCCUGGCCCCACUCAGUGGGUUAAGGAUCUGGCGCUGCCAUGAGCUGUGGUGUAGGUCACAGAUGUGGCUCAGAUUCCAUGCUGCUGACAUAGGCUGGCAGCUCCGUUUCUUGGAACCCUAGCCUGGGAAUUUCCAUAUGCCACAGGAGGAGCCCUAAAAAGCAAAAAAAAAAAAAAAGAGAGAUAGAACACAAUAGGAAAACACUAGGAAGGCUGAGCCUGCCCAUAUUUAGCCUUCUGGCUGCCUAUGGUAAAAGGAGAAAAAUAAGGCAGAAUAUUCAGAUACCUCCAGUCUAUCUGGAGGGAUAAGUGUGGAGGGGGAUCGGAGGGAGCAGGUCAGUAGGGAGAUAUCUUUCAUCCAAAGACUCAUUGUAGAUCUAGGGUUCCACCAAGUCAAUGAACUGGAAAGGUAGAAAUGACACCCAUGUAAAGAAUACACUGAAUCUGUACAUCACAUUCCCUUUAAUGCCAUUUUCUCUUUUUUGCUGGCUGUGUCUAAAACUCCUCCAAUAAUAUAGAUUAAAGGGGAAACCAAUAAGACAUUCUAGUACUAUAAUAGGAAAAAAAUCUGCUUCUGCAACUAUAUAAGAAGUUUACACAUAAGCAAUUUUAUAUUAAUAGUCAAUAUAAGAGAUUAAUAAAGAAUGAUGGAAAUUCAUCUGUUUCAAUUUUGAAGUAAUCACUAGGAACUCAUGGAGGUUACUUUGGUAGUUUUACUAUAUAAAAAUGGAAAAUGCCUAUAAGUAUAUACAUAAACAGGAACAUGCAAAGAAGACAAUAUACUUCAUAUAUAACAAGCUCUGAGGUUCCAAUAAAAAGAGAAUUCAGAAAGGAAAAAAAACACUUAAUCAACAUUAACAGGCCAUUCAAAAAAGAAGGAAAAGUAAGCCAACAUUCAAAUAACAAAAGCUUUAGGCUCACUAGAAAUAAAAUGUAAAAUUACCAGGAGAUAAUGAUUUUAUCUAUUAUAUUGGCAAAGGAAAUUGUCUUAAAAGAAGGGUAUGAGUAAACCUGGAGCUUCAGACAUUACUGAUGGGAGUUUUAAAUUGAAACAGCCUUACACAAGAACCCAUAAGAUUCUUAAAAUAUCUGUCAUCAUUGACUCAGCUAUUCUAUGUAAUUAAAUUUAUCAGAAAGAAAUAAUCAAGAAUGAACAUCAGGAUUUUCAUCAUAGUGUAUUCGUCAGAGUUUAUAUAUUCAUAUAUAAUUCUGAAAAACUGCACCCAACUUAAAUAUCCAAUGAUAAAGCAUAAGAAAAAUAGCCUACAACACAGGAGGAAAAGUGUACCAUUACACAC